AUGUAGCACGCGUCCACCGCGNCGCGUCCACCGCGGUUCCGGGCGCGCGGUCCGCGCCCACCUGACAGCUGCUCGCUCCGUGUUGUUAGCC
rnacentral:sRNA from 1 species